rnacentral:rRNA from 1 species
CCAGACUCCUACGGGAGGCAGCAGUGGGGAAUAUUGCACAAUGGGGGGAACCCUGAUGCAGCGACGCCGCGUGGGUGAAGGAGCACCUCGGUGCGUAAAGCCCUAUCGGCAGGGAAGAAACAGACGGUACCUGACUAAGAAGCCCCGGCUAACUACGUGCCAGCAGCCGCGGUAAUACGUAGGGGGCAAGCGUUAUCCGGAUGCACUGGGGGUAAAGGGAGCGUAGACGGCGGCGCAGGUCUGGAGUGAAAGCCCGGGGCCCAACCCCGGGACUGCUCUGGAAACUGCGUCGCUGGAGUACGGGAGGGGCAGGCGGAAUUCCCGGUGUAGCGGUGAAAUGCGUAGAUAUCAGGAGGAACACCAGUUGCGAAGGCGGCUCUCUGGACUGUAACUGACACUGAGGCACGAAAGCGUGGGGAGCAAACAGGAUUAGAUACCCUCGUACUU